GACGAACGCUGGCGGCGUGCUUAACACAUGCAAGUCGAGCGGUAAGGCCCUUUCGGGGGUACACGAGCGGCGAACGGGUGAGUAACACGUGGGUGACCUGCCCUCAGCUCUGGGAUAAGCCUGGGAAACCGGGUCUAAUACUGGAUAUGACUCCAUGACGCAUGUUGUGGGGUGGAAAGCCUUGUGCGGCUGAGGAUGGGCCCGCGGCCUAUCAGCUUGUUGGUGGGGGNGAU
rnacentral:rRNA from 1 species